rnacentral:rRNA from 1 species
UACGUAGGGGGCAAGCGUUAUCCGGAUUUAUUGGGUUUAAAGGGUGCGUAGGCUGUGAGGUAAGUCAGCGGUGAAAUGCCCCCGCUCAACGGGGUGAAGUGCCAUUGAUACUGCCUUGCUGGAAUGCGGAUGCCGUGGGAGGAACGUGUGGUGUAGCGGUGAAAUGCAUAGAUAUCACACAGAACACCGAUUGCGAAGGCAUCUCACGAAUCCGCGAUUGACGCUGAUGCACGAAAGCGUGGGUAUCAAACAGG